CCUGCCAGUAGUCAUAUGCUUGUCUCAAAGAUUAAGCCAUGCAUGUGUAAGUAUAAGUAUUGUACAGCGAAACUGCGAAUGGCUCAUUACAUCAGUUAUAGUUUAUUUGAUAUUUGAAAGUUACAUGGAUAACCGUGGCAAUUCUACAGCUAAUACAUGCUUCAAAACCUGACUUCGGAAGGGUUGUAUUUAUUAGAUAUUAAACCAUCCCCUCGGGGCUGUGAUGAAUCAUAAUAACUGAUCGAAUCGAGGUUCGCCUUGAUAAAUCAUUCAAGUUUCUGCCCUAUCAGCUGUAGAUGGUAGUGUAUUGGACUACCAUGGCUAUUACGGGUAACGGAGAAUUAGGGUUCGAUUCCGGAGAGGGAGCCUGAGAAACGGCUACCACAUCUACGGAUGGCAGCAGGCGCGAAAAUUGCCCAAUCCCGAUUCGGGGAGGCAGUGACAAGAAAUAACAACCCAGAACAUUGUUUCCGGGAUUGCAAUGAG
rnacentral:rRNA from 1 species